GAAGCAAGGCCUAAACCGGAGAGAUUAAAAAUAUUCCCUGUCUGGUGAUUGCUGAGAACAAAGUGCCACCUAGGGAUGGAGAUAUUUUGACUUCUGCUGAGCUAAGCUAGUUUUUGCCUGUAUUUGGAAAGGGUUUGAGAUCUAUCCGUGUUGUUACAUGUGGGAAGGUGGCGGAAUAGGAGGACCCAAAGCUCACCUCGUCCCAUGGAUACAAAUAGAUAACACUCACAUCAGCAUAAAUAACUCAGAAAAUGACCCAAAGACUGACAGAACAAACUCCACAACUAAAGACAAAGGAGAG